rnacentral:lncRNA from 1 species
GCUAUCGCCUCCGCUCUCUGAUUGGCUGUGCGGCGGCCAAUCGGGUGAGGGGGCCGCCAGCCCGUGCGGCCCCACGUGGGGCGGCGCGAGGGGCUGUUAGAGGACCGCAGCGGGCGGGGCGCGUGGUUCGAUCGCGCGCUACGCGCCUCGGGGACGCGGUCCGCGCCACCCCCAGCCGUCCCUGCCGUCCCGAGGCCCCCAGCGAGCGGCGCCGUGGCUUCGGGCGCGCGGGGCUCGGGGCCAUCGCCGGGUGCUGUGCGGUUCCCGGCUCGGAGGCGCUGGGCCGGCGUCGCGGCUGCCCCCUGCCCACGCGGGAGGGAAGCGAGCGGCGCUCAGGGACCAGGAGCGAAGGCCUUGCCACCUGGCGAGGCGGGGAGGCCAAGACAGGGUAUUUGAGGAGAAUUGAAUAAAUGGAAAAUACGUGAAUUAAAGGAGAGCUGUGCAGUACCCAGGGCCAGCAACAAAGGGGAGCUGUUACCCCCUGAGACCUGGAGGGCAGCUGGAGCCACAGGAGAGGCCGUCUCCAGGAGCCCUGACCUUGGAGAGGGACACAGCGACCCGGCAGGGAGGAGCUGCUGCUGUACACUGACCUCACCCCUCCUGACCGCUUGGCUUGUCUACCGGCUACGCAUUGGCUGAACUAGGUGGAGGCCAGGGAGCAACGAGGCCCCAUGGAUCCUGUACCUACAGUCAGCUUCCCGGGGCACAGAGCAGGGGCUGGCAUGGGGCAAUGGGAAGAUGUCCAGCACCUGUUUUGAAGUGUGAAUAAAAGCAUCGUAGAAAAUG